GCUAGGGAGAGAGAGACCAAGAUGGAAGUAUCUCCAAUACAUGGACAAGCAAUAUACCAGUCUUAUGGCUUAAGAGAUAGGGAGACUUGUCAGACCUUCAAGCCUUUGUUGCCAUCACUUACCUUUUCUGUGAAGGAACUACAUUCAUUGUUAACCAGACUUGCAAGAACUGCCAGUCUCCAUGCCGGGAACCUGCAUAAGGCUCUUGAAGGACUAGGUGAAAGCCAGGAAGUAAAAUCAAAGAGCAUUAGUUUGUCAAGGCCAGAACUUGUUACUAGUGAUGCCACUGAAUAUGAUGAAAGAGGAGGUGAGAGCAUCUCGACAUCAAGCGGUGGGAGCCCCAAAGAACUCGUUGGUCUAACUGGGCUUUCUUUGCAUGAUAAAGAGUGGAUAUCACCACCAGAUAGCAUUGAUACUAGCAGUGUGGAAUCUAGCAUUACCUCAACCGAAACUAGUCUUUCAGAUGGCAUUAAUGAUCUAGCGGAGACGAUGAAGAUUUCCCUUGAUUCCAGUCAGAACAAGGCUAAUGAUGAUUUAAAUUUAGUUCCAUCUUCUCAAAGCAAAUAUGAUGAAAUCUCACAUCGUGGACCAGAAAAUGUCUACCAACGUGGAGGUGGAAAAUGCCGAUGAAGUGAAAUUAGCAACCGAUGAGACUAAUGAACAUCUGAAAGCUGUUCCCUCAGUGAGUGAUGAAUCAGUAAGUAAUCCUCUAGAAUCUUCACAACCUUCAAACAGGGUGAACUUGGAUGUGAAAUUUCAGAGUAAGGACGAAGUAUCUACAUUAGGAAAAGUUGAGGUUGAUGAUGAGAGUCAUGAAGUUCCUGUUCCUAGCACAGACAGGGCGAGUCGUUUAGCAAGGGGUAAAAAUUCUUACGCAAUGUCGGUCCUAAGACGUGUAGAAAUGAAAUUAGAUGGGAGAGACAUUACAGAUAGAAGGAAACUUAGCAUUGCAGAGCAAGUGGAUUAUCUAUUAAAGCAAGCUACUAGUGUUGAUAAUCUUUGUAGCGUGUAUGAAGGUUGGACGCCAUGGAUUUGAACUUCAAAGUCUUUGUUUUCAAGGCAUUGUCAACUAUUGGAGGUACUUCAAUUACUUGCCAUGUUGUCUGACUAGCCUUCAAUCGGGAAGCUUUAACACAAAGGAGUCAUAGGAACGAUGGAAACUUUCGGCAUAUCAAAAAUGA